rnacentral:rRNA from 1 species
GACGAACGCUGGCGGCGUGCCUAAUACAUGCAAGUAGAACGCUGAAGGAGGAGCUUGCUUCUCUGGAUGAGUUGCGAACGGGUGAGUAACGCGUAGGUAACCUGCCUGGUAGCGGGGGAUAACUAUUGGAAACGAUAGCUAAUACCGCAUAACAGUAGAUGUUGCAUGACAUUUGCUUAAAAGGUGCAAUUGCAUCACUACCAGAUGGACCUGCGUUGUAUUAGCUAGUUGGUGGGGUAACGGCUCACCAAGGCGACGAUACAUAGCCGACCUGAGAGGGUGAUCGGCCACACUGGGACUGAGACACGGCCCAGACUCCUACGGGAGGCAGCAGUAGGGAAUCUUCGGCAAUGGACGGAAGUCUGACCGAGCAACGCCGCGUGAGUGAAGAAGGUUUUCGGAUCGUAAAGCUCUGUUGUAAGAGAAGAACGAGUGUGAGAGUGGAAAGU